GCAUCAAAAAGCGACACUUGGUCAGGUGCCAAAGCCGUUUGUUAUUGACACAAAAAGUAUCCUUUAGCCAUUAUAUUUAGACGUGCUUGGUCGGGAUUCUGCGUCACUUUUUGACGCUCUGGGUCGGGACGUAGGUUUAACUGACAUGUGGCACAAGAACAGGCCAGGAAAAGAUUGUGGGUUAUAAAAUGUACUUU